CUCCCCUCGGCCCUGCAGAUGUUGCUGGGUAUGUAUCGAGGCCAAUCUCUUAGACGUUUAAGUGGGUUUGAUGGAUGUACAGUGCCAUUCUGUGGCUCCUUUCAUCAAUAGGCAUGUGUGUCCUUCUUUGUCUAUUGUUUUGGGAUGUGAAACAAUUUCUUUUUGCUUUAGAUUUGAGUGUUGUAUAUUAAGAUGUCGGCCUCGUUUCCUGUCGUUCAUAUUUGCCUGGCUCACGACUUCAUUCCUCAAUCUCGUGAGGCCACGAAUCCAGUGCACGUGGCAACUGCUGGGCCCUCAGUCAAAGGCAGGCUGCAUCCACUCACCCACUGCGUCCUCUGG
rnacentral:lncRNA from 1 species